rnacentral:rRNA from 1 species
AUUGAACGCUGGCGGCAGGCUUAACACAUGCAAGUUGAACGAGCGGCGGACGGGUGAGUAAUGCUUGGGAAUCUAGCUUAUGGAGGGGGAUAACUACGGGAAACUGUAGCUAAUACCGCGUACCAUAGGAUGAGCCCAAGUGGGAUUAGGUAGUUGGUGAGGUAAAGGCUCACCAAUCCGACGAUCUCUAGCUGGUCUGAGAGGUUGGCCAGCAACAAUGAGACUGAGGCACGGCGCAGACUCCUACGGUAGGCAGCAGUGAGGAUUAUGGAGCAAUGGGGACAACCUGACGGAGCCAUGCCGCGUGAAUGAAGAAGGCCUGCGGGUUGUAAAGUUAUUUCGGUAGCGAGGCGUUAACUACAGAAGAAGCACCGGCUAACUCCGUACCAGCAGCGGCGGUAAUUC